rnacentral:tRNA from 1 species
AGCGGGGUAGAGUAAUUGGUCAACUCAUCAAACUCAUGAUUUGAGAAUUAUAGGUUCAAAUCUUGUCCUCGCCU